GAACGCUAGCUACAGGCUUAACACAUGCAAGUCGAGGGGAAACGACAUCGAAAGCUUGCUUUUGAUGGGCGUCGACCGGCGCACGGGUGAGUAACGCGUAUCCAACCUGCCCACCACUUGGGGAUAACCUUGCGAAAGUAAGACUAAUACCCAAUGACGUCUCUAGAAGACAUCUGAAGGAGAUUAAAGAUUUAUCGGUGAUGGAUGGGGAUGCGUCUGAUUAGCUUGUUGGCGGGGUAACGGCCCACCAAGGCGACGAUCAGUAGGGGUUCUGAGAGGAAGGUCCCCCACAUUGGAACUGAGACACGGUCCAAACUCCUACGGGAGGCAGCAGUGAGGAAUAUUGGUCAAUGGACGAGAGUCUGAACCAGCCAAGUAGCGUGCAGGAUGACGGCCCUAUGGGUUGUAAACUGCUUUUAUAAGGGAAUAAAGUGAGUCUCGUGAGACUUUUUGCAUGUACCUUAUGAAUAAGGACCGGCUAAUUCCGUGCCAGCAGCCGCGGUAAUACGGAAGGUCCGGGCGUUAUCCGGAUUUAUUGGGUUUAAAGGGAGCGUAGGCCGGAGAUUAAGCGUGUUGUGAAAUGUAGAUGCUCAACAUCUGCACUGCAGCGCGAACUGGUUUCCUUGAGUACGCACAAAGUGGGCGGAAUUCGUGGUGUAGCGGUGAAAUGCUUAGAUAUCACGAAGAACUCCGAUUGCGAAGGCAGCUCACUGGAGCGCAACUGACGCUGAAGCUCGAAAGUGCGGGUAUCGAACAGGAUUAGAUACCCUGGUAGUCCGCACGGUAAACGAUGGAUGCCCGCUGUUGGUCUGAAUAGGUCAGCGGCCAAGCGAAAGCAUUAAGCAUCCCACCUGGGGAGUACGCCGGCAACGGUGAAACUCAAAGGAAUUGACGGA
rnacentral:rRNA from 1 species